rnacentral:rRNA from 1 species
GCACAAGCGGUGGAUGAUGUGUUUAAUUCGAUGCAACGCGAAAACCUUACCCACCUUUGACAUGGCAGGAAUCCCGAAGAGAUUUGGGAGUGCUCGAAAGAGAACCUGCACACAGGUGCUGCAUGGCUGUCGUCAGCUCGUGUCGUGAGAUGUUGGGUUAAGUCCCGCAACGAGCGCAACCCUUGCCAUUAGUUGCUACGAAAGGGCACUCUAAUGGGACUGCCGGUGACAAACCGGAGGAAGGUGGGGAUGACGUCAAAUCAUCAUGCCCUUUAUGUCCUGGGCUACACACGUGCUACAAUGGCCUGUACAGAGGGAAGCGAAAGGGUGACCUGGAGCGAAUCCCAAAAAGCAGGUCUCAGUUCGGAUUGCAGGCUGCAACCCGCCUGCAUGAAGUCGGAAUCGCUAGUAAUCGCAGGUCAGCAUACUGUGGUGAAUACGUUCCCGGGCCUU